rnacentral:rRNA from 1 species
AACGCGAAGAACCUUACCUGGGCUCGAACGGCUGCGGAAAGCCGGUGGAAACACUGGUUCUCCCGCAAGGGAUCGUAGUCGAGGUGCUGCAUGGCUGUCGUCAGCUCGUGUCGUGAGAUGUUGGGUUAAGUCCCGCAACGAGCGCAACCCUUGUCCUGUGUUGGCAUGCCCGCAAGGGCGCAACUCUCAGGAGACCGCCAGCGAUAAGUUGGAGGAAGGUGGGGAUGACGUCAAGUCAUCAUGGCCUUUAUGUCCAGGGCUACACACGUGCUACAAUGGACGGUACAAAGCGCUGCAAACCCGCGAGGGGGAGCCAAUCGCAAAAAACCGUUCUCAGUUCGGAUCGCAGGCUGCAACUCGCCUGCGUGAAGCUGGAAUCGCUAGUAAUGGCAUAUCAGAACGAUGCCGUGAAUACGUUCCCGGGCCUUGUACACACCGCUCGUC